rnacentral:rRNA from 1 species
AACGAACGCUGGCGGCAGGCCUAACACAUGCAAGUCGAGCGGACCCUUCGGGGUUAGCGGCGGACGGGUGAGUAACGCGUGGGAAUAUGCCCUUCUCUACGGAAUAGUCCUGGGAAACUGGGGGUAAUACCGUAUACGCCCUUUGGGGGAAAGAUUUAUCGGGGAAGGAUUAGCCCGCGUUGGAUUAGGUAGUUGGUGGGGUAAUGGCCUACCAAGCCGACGAUCCAUAGCUGGUUUGAGAGGAUGAUCAGCCACACUGGGACUGAGACACGGCCCAGACUCCUACGGGAAGCAGCAGUGGGGAAUCUUAGACAAUGGGGGCAACCCUGAUCUAGCCAUGCCGCGUGAGUGAUGAAGGCCUUAGGGUUGUAAAGCUCUUUCAGCUGGGAAGAUAAUGACGGUACCAGCAGAAGAAGCCCCGGCUAACUCCGUG